CCUACGGGAGGCAGCAGUAAGGAAUCUUCCACAAUGGGGGCAACCCUGAUGGAGCAACACCGCGUGAAGGAUGAAGGCCCUCGGGUCGUAAACUUCUUUUAUAAGUGAGGAAUAUGACGGUAACUUAUGAAUAAGGGUCGGCUAACUACGUGCCAGCAGCCGCGGUAAU
rnacentral:rRNA from 1 species